rnacentral:rRNA from 1 species
CCUACGGGCGGCUGCAGUGGGGAAUAUUGGACAAUGGGGGAAACCCUGAUCCAGCAACGCCGCGUGGAGGAUGAAGGUCUUCGGAUUGUAAACUCCUGUUAGGGGGGACGAAGGGAUGUCGGCGAACAGUCGGCAAACUUGACGGUACCCCCAGAGGAAGCCCCGGCUAACUCUGUGCCAGCAGCCGCGGUAAUACAGAGGGGGCAAGCGUUAUUCGGAAUUAUUGGGCGUAAAGGGCGCGUAGGCGGCCUUGUAAGUCUUGGGUGAAAUCCCUCAGCUCAACUGAGGAACUGCCUCGGAUACUGCAAGGCUUGAGGCCGGGAGAGGGUAGUGGAAUUCCCAGUGUAGCGGUGAAAUGCGUAGAUAUUGGGAGGAACACCGGUGGCGAAGGCGGCUACCUGGACCGGUUCUGACGCUGAUGCGCGAAAGCGUGGGGAGCAAACAGGAUUAGAUACCCCGGUAGUC